AUCUGGUCCUGCCCGACGCCACUUCCACCCCGCGAGCUCUGGGAAAGGUCUCUACGUGACGCCAAGGGCCGUCGCGGCCCCGGGGAGAGGGAUCGAAAGACUCACUCUGCGAGGUGUUUACACUGGAGGUGGGGGACGGGAAGGGACUGGGCAAAGUUACCUGGACUCAACUAAAUUCCUGCGCUUGCUUAGUGUUGACAUUUGAAUAGGAUCCGAGAUGUUCUGCUUUUAUCCCGGGCAGCCCUGAUAUGUCAGCAACAGGCUGAGGUUCCAGACCUGAAAUCGCACUGCAAGAAAAAGGGUUUGCUGAACUAACUCCAAGCUGGUGUGCCUAGCGUCCGCGCGGCUGCCGGCCCAAGAGCUGGAGUCACCAUGGCGGCCGGAGUUGCGGCCUGGCUGCCUUU
rnacentral:lncRNA from 1 species